CCUGGAGUUUGCCUGGGAGACAAGAGGAUGGUUUCCUGGCAGAAGAUGAGGAGGAGGAGAAAAAUCACUUGUGCAGCGAAGUGAGAUUCUAGAUGACACACUGAAUGUGCCCUCUGCAUUAGAGACCGGCUAUGGCUUCCCACACCUGCCCCUUCUGGCUCCAGGGAGGAAGAUUCUCCAUCGUCUCCUAUUUAUAAGUGAGAGGUCAAGUGACUCUCCCAAGGCCACUCCACCAUGACAGCUGCUGCUGGGACCUGAGCCUCUGAGUCAAAGCCUAGCAGGUUGCUGUGACACCUGCCGAGAGCCGCCCGUAUCGAACGCCAAGCGAACGUUUUUCAGGCUUGUGAAACUCCAACCCCAGGCGGCUGCUAUAAUAGUUUUAAAGACCUUGAGAGUACUUUGAUGAAGUGAUACUUAUAAUAAACUCCUAUCACACCCGCAAAUCUGUGUGUACCAUCUGCCUUUAUU